rnacentral:siRNA from 1 species
AUAAGAACUUAAACCGCAACCCGA